GGAGUUGUGGCUCAGUGGCAGAGCACCUGCCUAGCAUGUGUGAAGCUCUGGGUUCAAUUCUCAGCACCA
rnacentral:tRNA from 1 species